GACGAACGCUGGCGGCGUGCUUAACACAUGCAAGUCGAACGGAAAGGCCCUGCUUGCAGGGUACUCGAGUGGCGAACGGGUGAGUAACACGUGGGUGAUCUGCCCUGCACUUCGGGAUAAGCCUGGGAAACUGGGUCUAAUACCGGAUAGGAGCCAUUUUUAGUGUGAUGGUUGGAAAGUUUUUUCGGUGUAGGAUGAGCUCGCGGCCUAUCAGCUUGUUGGUGGGGUAAUGGCCUACCAAGGCGGCGACGGGUAGCCGGCCUGAGAGGGUGGACGGCCACAUUGGGACUGAGAUACGGCCCAGACUCCUACGGGAGGCAGCAGUGGGGAAUAUUGCACAAUGGGCGCAAGCCUGAUGCAGCGACGCCGCGUGGGGGAUGACGGCCUUCGGGUUGUAAACUCCUUUCGCUAGGGACGAAGCUUUUUGUGACGGUCCCUAGAUAAGAAGCACCGGCUAACUACGUG
rnacentral:rRNA from 1 species